AGGAUUCUUCUUCUUCCCGGCGCGGCUGGAUCGAUCUCGAGGAGGUGUUGGGCGCUUCAGAACCAGGCGCAGCGGAAGCUGAGCAAUGGCUACGCAGGUUUUAUGUCGUGGCUCGCGAGCCGGAACGAUGAUGGCGAUCCAUCGGCGGUGCGCAUUGGGACUUCGCGAGAAUCUGGCAGGCAGAUGAUAGCUCCUGGUGAUCUUCCUGACCAGCUCAGCACGGUUUUGCCCAGCACUGUUAAGCCGUGGACCAAACUUGCUCUUAUUGUCCUCAUGGAACGCUACAAAGGCC